CUCUCUCUCUCUCUCUCUCUCUCUUCUUUCCUUGAAAAUUCUUCAUCUUCUCCACUACUAUAACACACACACACAUAUAUAUAUAUAUAGCCAUCAACUCAUUCAACAAAAAAUUCAUUCAUUAUCCCUUUGAAUUUUUUUUCUAAUUCCCUCCGGCCCAACAAUUUAAUUUUCUCCGUUCUAGUACGUACUCCGAUAUAUAUAUAUAUAUAUAUAUAUAUAUAUAUAUAUAUAUAUAUAUAUAUAUCCUCCUGUUUGAUCUUCUUCUUGUAUUUAAUUAUUUGAAGACGAUGAUGAUGGUGAUGAACUCAAUAAUGAGAAUAUUGGUGGCUCUUCCGAUCAUUGGAUUCAUGUUUAUGGCGAUUUUGCAAGUGGGUGAGGCUAAGGAAUUAUUUGGUCCAUCACCUGCACCAAAUGGUCCGGCCAAUGACGGCUCAGCCAUUGAUCAAGGGGUUGCCUAUGUCCUUCUGCUUCUAGCUCUGGCCCUCACUUAUCUAAUCCAUUAACUAAUUAAUCCUUUCCUUUCUUUUUUCAUUCUUUAUGUAUUUCUUUUUCGAGAAAAUAAGAAAUUCACAAGCUUCCAUGAUCGAUCCCUACGGUUAUUGUAAAGAAAUUUAUUCAUAUACCACUGGUAUAUAUAUAUAUAUAUUCUCCACCAUUAAAUGGAGUUCCUUUUAAUAUGAUACAAUGGUGUCCUAAUAUUAUUUGCGUUGCGCUUGCUCAAGAUCGGAUUUCUUAUUUUAUUUAUUGUUUUGGUUUGGUUGAAUGUCAUAUGAUAAAAUAACUACUCUUCUGUUUUAAAAUUAGAGAUACAAUUUAAUUUUUAAAAUCAAAUAUUAACAUAUUAAACUUUAAAAUUUAUAUAACUUACAAAAGUUUAGAAUAAAAUAAAUUUGUGAUUAAUAAUUUUUUUAUAUAUUAUAUAAUUAUAAUAAUUAAAUUAAUUAAAAUUAAAUAAAUGCACAUCAACUUA
rnacentral:lncRNA from 1 species